GAAAAAGAACCUGAAACCGUGUACGUACAAGCAGUGGGAGCACCCUUUUGGGUGUGACUGCGUACCUUUUGUAUAAUGGGUCAGCGACUUAUAUUCUGUAGCAAGGUUAACCGAAUAGGGGAGCCGGAGGGAAACCGAGUCUUAAUUGGGCGUUAAGUUGCAGGGUAUAGACCCGAAACCCGGUGAUCUAGCCAUGGGCAGGUUGAAGGUUGGGUAACACUAACUGGAGGACCGAACCGACUAAUGUUGAAAAAUUAGCGGAUGACCUGUGGCUGGGGGUGAAAGGCCAAUCAAACCGGGAGAUAGCUGGUUCUCCCCGAAAGCUAUUUAGGUAGCGCCUCGUGAAUUCAUCUCCGGGGGUAGAGCACUGUUUCGGCUAGGGGGCCAUCCCGGCUUACCAACCCGAUGCAAACUGCGAAUACCGGAGAAUGUUAUCACGGGAGACACACGGCGGGUGCUAACGUCCGUCGUGAAGAGGGAAACAACCCAGACCGCCAGCUAAGGUCCCAAAGUCAUGGUUAAGUGGGAAACGAUGUGGGAAGGCCCAGACAGCCAGGAUGUUGGCUUAGAAGCAGCCAUCAUUUAAAGAAAGCGUAAUAGCUCACUGGUCGAGUCGGCCUGCGCGGAAGAUGUAACGGGGCUAAACCAUGCACCGAAGCUGCGGCAGCGACACUCAGG
rnacentral:rRNA from 1 species